GCCUCUCCCUCCUCCAUCCCGGGGUCCCCGGGCCGCCACCCUCGGGGCCAGCCCCUGCCCGCCAGCUGCUUCCUUUGCAGGCAACGCCGUCGCCUCCUACAGAGCGUUGCGCUCCCUGAGACCCCGAGUCUUCGCUGGGGAACAGCAAAGGAUUUGAAGAAGGGUUACGUUUUGUUUGGGAAUGUGAAUACCUGUUGUGCUGUAAUAGUCAAAACUGGAGUUUCCAGGAGGAGAGGGCGCCUCUGGAUUUGAUGACCGGAAGUCAUGUCUGGAUCGAGUGCAAGCCGGACCCACCACUAGCUGGAGCCUUUAUUUGGAAAGUCGGAGUUCUUGUGAGAACUACAUGAGUUAUAUGUAAAGCUGUACCACAGCCUGCACAAUGUAGCCAGAGACCUUAAAACUUUCCACAGCUGCCCUAGCUGGCUUGGCUCAGUGGAUAGAGUAUUGGCCUGCAGACUGAAGAGUUGUGGGUUCAA